rnacentral:rRNA from 1 species
ACGAACGCUGGCGGCGUGCUUAACACAUGCAAGUCGAACGCGCCUGUCCUCUGGGUUUCUGGGGGGUGGGUGAGUGGCGAACGGGUGAGUAACACGUGAGUAACCUGCCCCCUUCUUCGGGAUAACGGUCUGAAAGGGCUGCUAAUACCGGGUAUUCACUGGUCUCCGCAUGGGGUCUGGUGGAAAGGUUUUUUUCUGGUGGGGGAUGGGCUCGCGGCCUAUCAGCUUGUUGGUGGGGUGAUGGCCCACCAAGGCUUUGACGGGUAGCCGGCCUGAGAGGGUGACCGGUCACAUUGGGACUGGGAUACGGCCCAGACUCCUACGGGAGGCAGCAGUGGGGAAUAUUGCACAAUGGGCGCAAGCCUGAUGCAGCGACGCCGCGUGAGGGAUGGAGGCCUUCGGGUUGUGAACCUCUUUCGCCCGUGGUCAAGCCGCGACGUGGGUCGUGGUGAGGGUAGUGGGUAAAGAAGCGCCGGCUAACUACGUG